AUACAAUGCCAGGGGUGCUGGAAUCGGCCGGCUGAGAGUGUGUCCCAAGACACUGACCCUUACAACCUGAUCUGGGUAAUGCCAGCGUAGGAAUGCUUAAGCAAGAUGUG
rfam:Paenibacillus polymyxa SC2, complete genome.